UGAGAUCGCCUUCGGGCCUUCUCAAAUGUGCUAGAGCUUUCGACUGAUCACCGAUUGUUCUAGAUGAAAUGAUGGUAUGAAAUGUUAUGAAUUUACGUUUUAAAAGUUAUCGUAUUGUUUGGACGCACGUAUCUUACUGAGUAUAAAUUACUCACUCCUUCAACUUCAACAUUUCAGGUCAGUGCUGUCAAUGUGGAUGGUGGUUGGAUGGUGCGCGGGCUGCC
rnacentral:lncRNA from 1 species